CGACCCUAGGUCAGUCGGGACUACCCGCUGAGUUUAAGCAUAUAAAUAAGUGGAGGAGAAGAAACUUACGAGGAUUCCCCUAGUAACGGCGAGCGAACCGGGAGCAGCCCAGCUUGAGAAUCGGGCGGCCUCGCCGCCCGAAUUGUAGUCUGGAGAGGCGUCCUUAGCGACGGACCGGGCCCAAGUUCUCUGGAAAGGGACGCCUGGGAGGGUGAGAGCCCCAUCCGGCCCGGACCCUGUCGCACCACGAGGCGCCGUCAACGAGUCGGGUUGUUUGGGAAUGCAGCCCAAAUUAGGCGGUAAACUCCGUCCAAGGCUAAAUACAGGCGAGAGACCGAUAGCGAACAAGUACCGCGAGGGAAAGAUGAAAAGGACUUUGAAAAGAGAGUCAAAGAGUGCUUGAAAUUGCCGGGAGGGAAGCGGAUGGGGGCUGGCGACGCGCACCGGCCGUAUGCGGAACGGCUCCUGCUGGUCCGCCGAUCGGCUCGGGGCGUGGACCGUUGUCGCCCGCACCGGCGGACAAAGCCCGGGGGCCCUAGGCGCCCCCGGCAGCCGUCGUCGGCACGGACGGUAUCCGCGCGCCUCUGGCGCGCCCUCGGGGCGCUGCGCCGCAACGGCCUGCGAGCUCCCCAUCCGACCCGUCUUGAAACACGGACCAAGGAGUCUGACAUGCGUGCGAGUCGACGGGUUCAGAAACCUGAGAUGCGCAAGGAAGCUGACGAGCGGGAGGCCCUCACGAGCCGCACCGCUGGCCGACCCUGAUCUUCUGUGAAGGGUUCGAGUUGGAGCACGCCUGUCGGGACCCGAAAGAUGGUGAACUAUGCCUGAGCGGGGCGAAGCCAGAGGAAACUCUGGUGGAGGCUCGAAGCGAUACUGACGUGCAAAUCGUUCGUCUGACUUGGGUAUAGGGGCGAAAGACUAAUCGAACCAUCUAGUAGCUGGUUCCCUCCGAAGUUUCCCUCAGGAUAGCUGGAGCCCACACGAGUUCUAUCGGGUAAAGCCAAUGAUUAGAGGCAUCGGGGGCGCAACGCCCUCGACCUAUUCUCAAACUUUAAAUAGGUAGGACGGCGCGGCUGCUUCGGUGAGCCGUGCCACGGAAUCGGGAGCUCCAAGUGGGCCAUUUUUGGUAAGCAGAACAGGCGAUGCGGGAUGAACCGGAAGCCGGGUUACGGUGCCAAACUGCGUGCUAACCUAGAACCCACAAAGGGUGUUGGUCGAUUAAGACAGCAGGACGGUGGUCAUGGAAGUCG
rnacentral:ncRNA from 1 species